rnacentral:rRNA from 1 species
UGCUGACAUAAGUAACGAUAAAGCGGGUGAAAAGCCCGCUCGCCGGAAGACCAAGGGUUCCUGUCCAACGUUAAUCGGGGCAGGGUGAGUCGACCCCUAAGGCGAGGCCGAAAGGCGUAGUCGAUGGGAAACAGGUUAAUAUUCCUGUACUUGGUGUUACUGCGAAGGGGGGACGGAGAAGGCUAUGUUGGCCGGGCGACGGUUGUCCCGGUUUAAGCGUGUAGGCUGGUUUUCCAGGCAAAUCCGGAAAAUCAAGGCUGAGGCGUGAUGACGAGGCACUACGGUGCUGAAGCAACAAAUGCCCUGCUUCCAGGAAAAGCCUCUAAGCAUCAGGUAACAUCAAAUCGUACCCCAAACCGACACAGGUGGUCAGGUAGAGAAUACCAAGGCGCUUGAGAGAACUCGGGUGAAGGAACUAGGCAAAAUGGUGCCGUAACUUCGGGAGAAGGCACGCUGAUAUGUAGGUGAAGUCCCUCGCGGAUGGAGCUGAAAUCAGUCGAAGAUACCAGCUGGCUGCAACUGUUUAUUAAAAACACAGCACUGUGCAAACACGAAAGUGGACGUAUACGGUGUGACGCCUGCCCGGUGCCGGAAGGUUAAUUGAUGGGGUCAGCGCAAGCGAAGCUCUUGAUCGAAGCCCCGGUAAACGGCGGCCGUAACUAUAACGGUCCUAAGGUAGCGAAAUUCCUUGUCGGGUAAGUUCCGACCUGCACGAAUGGCGUAAUGAUGGCCAGGCUGUCUCCACCCGAGACUCAGUGAAAUUGAACUCGCUGUGAAGAUGCAGUGUACCCGCGGCAAGACGGAAAGACCCCGUGAACCUUUACUAUAGCUUGACACUGAACAUUGAGCCUUGAUGUGUAGGAUAGGUGGGAGGCUUUGAAGUGUGGACGCCAGUCUGCAUGGAGCCGACCUUGAAAUACCACCCUUUAAUGUUUGAUGUUCUAACGUUGACCCGUAAUCCGGGUUGCGGACAGUGUCUGGUGGGUAGUUUGACUGGGGCGGUCUCCUCCUAAAGAGUAACGGAGGAGCACGAAGGUUGGCUAAUCCUGGUCGGACAUCAGGAGGUUAGUGCAAUGGCAUAAGCCAGCUUGACUGCGAGCGUGACGGCGCGAGCAGGUGCGAAAGCAGGUCAUAGUGAUCCGGUGGUUCUGAAUGGAAGGGCCAUCGCUCAACGGAUAAAAGGUACUCCGGGGAUAACAGGCUGAUACCGCCCAAGAGUUCAUAUCGACGGCGGUGUUUGGCACCUCGAUGUCGGCUCAUCACAUCCUGGGGCUGAAGUAGGUCCCAAGGGUAUGGCUGUUCGCCAUUUAAAGUGGUACGCGAGCUGGGUUUAGAACGUCGUGAGACAGUUCGGUCCCUAUCUGCCGUGGGCGCUGGAGAACUGAGGGGGGCUGCUCCUAGUACGAGAGGACCGGAGUGGACGCAUCACUGGUGUUCGGGUUGUCAUGCCAAUGGCACUGCCCGGUAGCUAAAUGCGGAAGAGAUAAGUGCUGAAAGCAUCUAAGCACGAAACUUGCC